UGCUAAACUAUUCCUUGUCCCAAGACAGUAGGUUUCCGAUUAAAUCGGGAUUAAAAAGCAAAAGCCUACCGAGGAAAUAUCAUUUUAAUUGAUAAAGCGCUCGGUAGUGAGCGUUUUUUUAUGGCAAA
rfam:Candidatus Levybacteria bacterium RIFCSPHIGHO2_01_FTLL_36_15 rifcsphigho2_01_scaffold_11176, whole genome shotgun sequence.